GUAGGUGGCAAGCGUUAUCCGGAAUUAUUGGGCGUAAAGCGCGCGCAGGCGGUUCUUUAAGUCUGAUGUGAAAGCCCACGGCUCAACCGUGGAGGGUCAUUGGAAACUGGAGAACUUGAGUACAGAAGAGGAAAGCGGAAUUCCACGUGUAGCGGUGAAAUGCGUAGAGAUGUGGAGGAACACCAGUGGCGAAGGCGGCUUUCUGGUCUGUAACUGACGCUGAGGCGCGAAAGCGUGGGGAGCAAACAGGGAUUAGAUACCCUGGUAGUCCACGCCGUAAACGAUGAGUGCUAAGUGUUAGGGGGGUUUCCGCCCCCUUAGUGCUGCAGCUAACGCAUUAAGCACUCCGCCUGGGGAGUACGGCCGCAAGGCUG
rnacentral:rRNA from 1 species